UACGAAGGGGGCUAGCGUUGCUCGGAAUGACUGGGCGUAAAGGGCGCGUAGGCGGAUGGUACAGUCAGAUGUGAAAUUCCUGGGCUUAACCUGGGGGCUGCAUACGAGACGUAUGGGCUUGAGUGCGGAAGAGGGUCGUGGAAUUCCCAGUGUAGAGGUGAAAUUCGUAGAUAUUGGGAAGAACACCGGUGGCGAAGGCGGUCUGCU
rnacentral:rRNA from 1 species